GACUGACUGCUAUCGGAUUGGUACUAAGCCAUGUGAGUCGUUGUAGCAAUACAAGGCAUACGGCUCAGUAACACGUAGUCAUCUAACCUAUGGACGGGGAUAACCUCGGGAAACUGAGGAUAAACCCCGAUAGAUCAUUAUGCCUGGAACGGUUUAUGGUCCAAAUGAUUCGUCGCCGUAGGGUGGGACUGCGGCCUAUCAGCUUGUUGGUGAGGUAAUGGCCCACCAAGGCUAUUACAGGUACGGGCUCCGAGAGGAGAAGCCCGGAGAUGGGUACUGAGACACGGACCCAGGCCCUAUGGGGCGCAGCAGGCGAGAAACCUUUGCAAUGUGCGCAAGCACGACAAGGUUAAUCCGAGUGUUUCCUGCUUAAGGAAUCUUUUGUUAGUUGUAAAACCACUGAUGAAUAAGGGGUGGGCAAGUUCUGGUGUCAGCCGCCGCGGUAAAACCAGCACCUCAAGUGGUCAGGAUGAUUAUUGGGCCUAAAGCAUCCGUAGCCUGUUCUGUAAGUUUCCGGUUAAAUCCAUUAGCUCAACUAGUGGGCUGCCGAAAAUACUGCAGAACUAGGGAGUGGGAGAGGUAGACGGUACUCGGUAGGAAGGGGUAAAAUCCUUUGAUCUAUUGAUGACCACCUGUGGCGAAGGCGGUCUACCAGAACACGUUCGACGGUGAGGGAUGAAAGCUGGGGGAGCAAACCGGAUUAGAUACCCGGGUAGUCCCAGCUGUAAACGAUGCAGACUCGGUGAUGCCCUGGCUUGUGGCCAGUGCAGUGCCGCAGGGAAGCCGUUAAGUUUGCCCCCUGGGAAGUACGUACGCAAGUAUGAAACUUAAAGGAAUUGGCGGGGGAGCAC
rnacentral:rRNA from 1 species